GGUCAGGAAUAACAACUGGAGCUCCUUUCUUCUUCCUUUUAGGUUUGGGAAGUGGAGCUGGAGGCGCUGGCGGUAUCAAUGUCGCGCCACUUCCGUAUAACGGAAUCCUCUCUCCAAUCACAUGUACCAAUACCGUUCUUUGGCUCUUCCUCGACUGAUAAAACUUCUUAAUCUGCAAAUAUCACAAAGCCAAAAGAAAAAGAAAAACAUCAGAACCUAAUAUGGCCGCGCAAACAAUUAUUGUCCCGAACAGAUCUAAAACUGAACUAAAAACACUUGCAAGUCCUAAAAAUUCUCAAUCCGACGAGAACAUCCGAACCCGACCCAAAAAAAAUCUAAUACUGGCAUUGAUUAGGACUUACAGAUCCGGAGCCUAUUUUCAUCUGAGAGAAACUGAGAUCGACUGGAGUUGAAGUUACAUGCACACCAAAGAAAGUUCCUGUGUUUCGAUACAACAUCCUCAGAGUCGCGUUCAUAGUGAUCAUGUCCGUUCCUACACCACCAGCAUCUUGACCAGCUUGGAUCUUGAGCGUCUCGAAUGUUAUACUCUGCAAAGUUCAGAUCUGAGAAUACGAAUUCUUGAAUCAGAUUUUAAAUCUAAGAGUUGAGAUGGGAACACUAACCUUGACAGUUAUCUUUGGUUUCUGAGGUUUAGCAGCUCCGUAAA